ACUCCAGUGAACAGCACUGUUUACUUGGCCUACUUCCUCUUGUAGACAGCAAACUCCUAAAGGGUGAGGAGCUGUCUACCUCACUUUUGUACCAACUGCAGGCCCUCAAAUAUGUGUUGGAUUAAACAGAUGAUUACGGAAAGGCAGUGGAAAGAGUAGGUCAAAAUCCUACAGCCACUACACACCUAUCAGAGCAGCUAAAAUAAAUACUGACAACAUCAAAUGCUAGCAAGGAGGUGAGGAAACUGGACCUCUCAUAUGUCACUGUGGGAAAGUAAAAUGGUGCAACCAGUCUGGAAAAUAGUUUGGCAGUAACUUUAAUAAAAAAAACUUUUAGCUGGGCAUGGUGGCUGGUGCCUGUAGUCCCAGCUACUCAGGGGGCUGAGGUGGGAGGAUUGUUUGAGCGCCCAGGAGGUUGAGGCUGCAGUAAGAUGUGACUGUGCCCCUGCACUCCAGCCUGGGAAGAGAAUGAGACCCUGCCUCAAAGAAAAUGUAAUUAAUUUAACUUAUAAACUAAACAUACACUUACCACAGCACCCAGCAAUUGCAUCCCUGUGCAUUUACCUCCGACUAAUGAAAACUGAUGUCUAUACAGCAUUUUACACAGAUGUCCACAGCAGCUUUAUUUGGAAUAGCCCAAAUCUGGAAACACCAAAAUGCCCUUCAAAGGAUGAUAUUAAACAAACCUCAGCAGGUGCAUGCCAUGGACACUACUCAGCAAUUUUUACAAACAGCAAACUACUGAUGCCCACAGAAAGCCCUCAAGGGCAUCCUCCUGACUGGAAAAGCCAGUCUCAGAAGGUCACAUACGUACUGUAUGACUCCAUUCACGUGAGAAGGACGGGGAGGAAGAGGAGGAGGGUGGCUUCGAAGGGAGGCCAUUGUGGUGAUGGAGCAAUUUUGUAGCUUGACUGUGACCAUGACAUGAAAACACACAUGUGAUAAAAUGGCACAGCACUACCUUGGGAGGUCUCAGGUGUGUCUAUGACCUUGAUGGUGGUGAUGGUAUCACAGAUGUUUGCAUCAGUUAUACCUCAAUAAAACUGUUUUCUAGAAUGACCUAGAACUAUGAACACAUGUUGUACCAAUGUCAAGGCUCACAACUUCCUGUGAAUUUCUAUCUAUCUCAAAAUGCCUUGAACUCCUGGACUCGAGUAAUCCUCCCACCUCAGCCUCCUGAGUAGCUGGGACUACAAGGGCUCAAAAUAAGAAUUUUAAAAUGCAGCCUAAAACAACAAUAAUAACAGAAACAUUAAAUGCCAAAUAUAAUUAUACAUAUGUAUGGGCCAGGCACAGUGGCUCACGCCUAUAAUCCCAGCACUUUGGGAGGCCAAGGUGGGUGGAUCACAAGGUCAGGAGAUCGAGACCAUCCUGGCUAACACAGUGAAACCCCGUCUCUACUAAAAAUACAAAAAAAUAGCCGGGCGUAGUGGCGGGCGCCUGUAGUCCCAGCUACUCGGGAGACUGAGGCAAGAGAAUGGCGUGAACCCGGGAGGUGGAGCUUGCAGUGAGCCGAGAUCACGCCACUGCACGCCAGCCUGGGGGACAGAGCGAAACUCCGUCUCAAAAAAAAAAAAAGUUAUACAUAUGUAUGUAACAGGAUAUUGUGAUGGUUACUUUUUUUUUCUGAGAUAGGGUCUGGCUCUGCCACCUAGUCUGGACCGUGCAGUGGUGUGACCUGAUCUCACUGCACCCUCUGCCUCCUGGGCCCAAGCCAUCCUCCCACCUCAGCCUCCUGAUUAGCUGGGACUACAGGCACAUGCCACCAUGCCAGGCUAAUUUUUGUAUUUUUUGUGGAAAUGGGGUUUUGCCAUGUUACCCAGGCUGAUUGCCUGCCUCAGCCUCUCAAAGUGCUGGAAUUACAGGCAUGAGCCAUCACAUCCAGCUGUGAUGGUUAAUUUUUGUGUCAACUUGAGGGCCCCAAGGGAUCCCAGAUAGCUGGUAAAACAUGAUUCUGUGUGCUGCCUUCACCAACGUGAACAGGCAACCUCCAACUCAUUCAGAGCCUGAAUAGAACAAAAAGGUGUUUAGGAGGGGCAAGAUUAUAUGGAGGAAAAAAAAAUGUGGAGGGAGGGAACCUGAGGGAACCUUCUCCCUCUUUGUUCUUGAGCUGGGACGUUCAUCUUCUGUCUGCGGGCAUCAGAGCUCCGGGCUAUUGCUUCAGACUCUGGGACUUCACUGGUUCUUCACCCCGUCCCAUGCCACCAGCUCUCCUGAGCCUCAGGAUUGCAGAUGGCAGAUGGUAGGAGUUCCCGGCCGCCACAACCGCCUAAGCCAAUUCCUCAUUAUAAAUCUCUCUCAAAUGCAGAUAUAGGUAUAGCUAUAGAUACAUACAUCAUAUUGGUUCUGUUUCUCUGGAGACCCUAAUACAUAUAUAUACAUAUAUAUAUAUAUAUAGAGAGAGAGAGAGAGACAGAGAGAGAGAGAGAGACAGAGAGAGAGAGAGAGAGAGAGAGACAGAGAGAGAGAGAGAGAGAGAGACAGAGAGAGAGAGAGAGAGAGAGACAGAGAAAACAUACAUCUCCCCUAUGGCUCAAAUUUUCCGGUGUUUGAAAAAGCCCCGAAUGUCUCAUUGCACUCUAUUAGGAAACAUAUAUACUCCUCCUAUCUCUCCUUCCUUCCUUCUAUCCCUUUGCUCCAAAGGAAUCUAAUAGAAAAUAGCAAUAUAUUUUUAACUUAUU
rnacentral:lncRNA from 1 species